rnacentral:rRNA from 1 species
UACGAAGGGGGCUAGCGUUGCUCGGAUUUACUGGGCGUAAAGCGCGCGUAGGCGGCUUUGUAAGUUAGAGGUGAAAGCCCGGAGCUCAACUCCGGAAUUGCCUUUAAGACUGCAUCGCUUGAAUCCGGGAGAGGUGAGUGGAAUUCCGAGUGUAGAGGUGAAAUUCGUAGAUAUUCGGAAGAACACCAGUGGCGAAGGCGGCUCACUGGACCGGUAUUGACGCUGAGGUGCGAAAGCGUGGGGAGCAAACAGG